rnacentral:rRNA from 1 species
ACGAACGCUGGCGGCGUGCUUAACACAUGCCAGUCGCACGGAAAGGCCCUGCUUGCAGGGUACUCGAGUGGCGAACGGGUGAGUAGAACGUAGGUGAUCUGCCCUGCACUUCGGGAUAAGCCUGGGAAACCGGGUCUAAUCCCGGAUAGGAGCCAUUUUUAGUGUGCUGGUUGGAAAGGUUUUUCGGUGUGGGAUGAGAUCGCGGCCUAUCAGCUUGUUGUUGGGGUAAUGGCCUACCAAGGCGGCGACGGGUAGCCGGCCUGCGGGGGUGGACGGCCACAGUUGGACUGAGAAACAGCCCAGACUCCUACGGAAGGCAGCAGGGGGGAAUAUUGCACAAGUGGCGCAAGCCCGAUGCAGCGACGCCGCGUGGGGGAUGACGGCCUUCGGGUUGUAAACUCCUUUCGCUAGGUACGAAGCGUUGUGUGACGGUACCUAGAUAAGAAGCACCGGCUAACUACGUG